GGGAUGUAUGAUUGUUUAUAUGAUGAGCCCUUUAUUUUCAUAUUGGGACAAAAAGUCACUUCAUUCAAAACGUCAAACACCACAUUCUUUCUGCCCUGAGUGUUUGUUGCAGAGAACUUAUGUUGUAAAUUUAGAUGAUUAUGAAUUAGAGAGCAAAAUUUAUAUUUUCAGCGUUCCAACACAUGCUUCAUAUUGUGCUGUAAGCUAACUUGUAGUAUUCCAGUAUGUCACAUGUUGUAUGUGCUUUAAAUUGUAUGUAUUCUGUAAAUUAUUGUAUGGGGUUGCUGAGAUUUUAUUGCUUGCGACCCAAACUGUGAAGAAGUGGGUUUGAAAUUUUGGUCAUGGAAUGUAGGAUCAGAAAACCAUGGACAAAGGUUUUAACCUGUGUUGAUAUGACUUUUGGAAACUCAAAUUGACCGGUCAAAAUUUUGCCAUGCCUUUAACAUGGAGUAGUAUAAAUAUUUUGAGUCUUUGAGAGUUCUGACAAAUGCAGGUGAUACCAUGUCUGUGUAAUCUGGUCCAAAUGUUCUAUAAGCGUAUAAGAGAGAAAUUCCAUUGACAGGUUUCAUAUGUUGCAACUGGUUAAUGCAAGUGUUAUACAAAUGUUUAAGUCAAACGCGUUAUAUGGCCGUACGGGAUCCCUU
rnacentral:lncRNA from 1 species